GACGAACGCUGGCGGCGUGCCUAAUACAUGCAAGUCGAGCGCAGGAAGCCGACGGAGCCCUUCGGGGGGAAGUCGACGGAAUGAGCGGCGGACGGGUGAGUAACACGUAAAGAACCUGCCCUCAGGUCUGGGAUAACCACGAGAAAUCGGGGCUAAUACCGGAUGGGUCAUCGGACCGCAUGGUCCGAGGAUGAAAGGCGCUUCGGCGUCGCCUGGGGAUGGCUUUGCGGUGCAUUAGCUAGUUGGUGGGGUAAUGGCCCACCAAGGCGACGAUGCAUAGCGGACCUGAGAGGGUGAUCGGCCACACUGGGACUGAGACACGGCCCAGACUCCUACGGGAGGCAGCAGUAGGGAAUCUUCCACAAUGGACGAAAGUCUGAUGGAGCAACGCCGCGUGAACGAUGAAGGCCUUCGGGUCGUAAAGUUCUGUUGUAAGGGAAGAACAAGUGCCGCAGGCAAUGGCGGCACCUUGACGGUACCUUGCGAGAAAGCCACGGCUAACUACGUGCCAGCCGCCGCCGUAAUAC
rnacentral:rRNA from 1 species